rnacentral:rRNA from 1 species
UAGAACGCUGAAGAGAGGAGCUUGCUCUUCUUGGAUGAGUUGCGAACGGGUGAGUAACGCGUAGGUAACCUGCCUUGUAGCGGGGGAUAACUAUUGGAAACGAUAGCUAAUACCGCAUAACAAUGGAUGACACAUGUCAUUUAUUUGAAAGGGGCAAUUGCUCCACUACAAGAUGGACCUGCGUUGUAUUAGCUAGUAGGUGAGGUAAUGGCUCACCUAGGCGACGAUACAUAGCCGACCUGAGAGGGUGAUCGGCCACACUGGGACUGAGACACGGCCCAGACUCCUACGGGAGGCAGCAGUAGGGAAUCUUCGGCAAUGGGGGCAACCCUGACCGAGCAACGCCGCGUGAGUGAAGAAGGUUUUCGGAUCGUAAAGCUCUGUUGUAAGUCAAGAACGGGUGUGAGAGUGGAAAGUUCACACUGUGACGGUAGCUUACCAGAAAGGGACGGCUAACUACGUGCCAGCAGCCGCGGUAAUACGUAGGUCCCGAGCGUUGUCCGGAUUUAUUGGGCGUAAAGCGAGCGCAGGCGGUUUGAUAAGUCUGAAGUUAAAGGCUGUGGCUCAACCAUAGUUCGCUUUGGAAACUGUCAAACUUGAGUGCAGAAGGGGAGAGUGGAAUUCCAUGUGUAGCGGUGAAAUGCGUAGAUAUAUGGAGGAACACCGGUGGCGAAAGCGGCUCUCUGGUCUGUAACUGACGCUGAGGCUCGAAAGCGUGGGGAGCGAACAGGAUUAGAUACCCUGGUAGUCCACGCCGUAAACGAUGAGUGCUAGGUGUUGGAUCCUUUCCGGGAUUCAGUGCCGCAGCUAACGCAUUAAGCACUCCGCCUGGGGAGUACGACCGCAAGGUUGAAACUCAAAGGAAUUGACGGGGGCCCGCACAAGCGGUGGAGCAUGUGGUUUAAUUCGAAGCAACGCGAAGAACCUUACCAGGUCUUGACAUCCCGAUGCUAUUUCUAGAGAUAGAAAGUUACUUCGGUACAUCGGUGACAGGUGGUGCAUGGUUGUCGUCAGCUCGUGUCGUGAGAUGUUGGGUUAAGUCCCGCAACGAGCGCAACCCCUAUUGUUAGUUGCCAUCAUUCAGUUGGGCACUCUAGCGAGACUGCCGGUAAUAAACCGGAGGAAGGUGGGGAUGACGUCAAAUCAUCAUGCCCCUUAUGACCUGGGCUACACACGUGCUACAAUGGUUGGUACAACGAGUUGCGAGUCGGUGACGGCGAGCUAAUCUCUUAAAGCCAAUCUCAGUUCGGAUUGUAGGCUGCAACUCGCCUACAUGAAGUCGGAAUCGCUAGUAAUCGCGGAUCAGCACGCCGCGGUGAAUACGUUCCCGGGCCUUGUACACACCGCCCGUCACACCACGAGAGUUUGUAACACCCGAAGUCGGUGAGGUAACCUUUUGGAGCCAGCCGCCU